rnacentral:tRNA from 1 species
CCCUGGUGGUCCUGUUGGUAAAGAAUCUGCUUGCAACGCAGGAGACCCAGGUUCAAUCCCUGGGUUGGGAA